rnacentral:tRNA from 1 species
UUCCGUUUCGUCUAAUGGCAGGACGCCGGUUUCUGGCACCGGAAAUGGGAGUUCAACUCUCUCAGCGGAAGCCA